rnacentral:lncRNA from 1 species
GAGGCUUGAGAGAGUCUUUAGAACUAACAUCUUUUCUUACUUUUUUGUCACUAGGUUGGUAUAAUUCUAAAAUAGUCUUUAGAACCAAUACUAUAAACCUACCUACAACAUCGUCGUUUCCUCCUCAUUAUAUAGGAACGUUGUUAAAUGAGUUUAAUAACGCUUUGACAGAAUUCAAAUGAUGUUGCAGGCAUGCUGUCUUUAGAGCCAAUACUACAAACCUAUCCACAUAUAAUCAGUGGCUGGUGGUGUAGGUAGGAUCUCCACGAGGGGUACAAAAAAAUUUAAAUUCUUUUUGUACCUCGUGGGAAUUGAACUCAUGAACUUAUUUAGAUUUUGAACCCCUUGACCACUAAAUUACAUUUUUGGAUGAGUGUUCAAAAUCUAAUAUGUAGACAUAAAAAACAGAUUUUGUCUUAUAUACAGUAUAAUUUUUCGGCAAUGAACACCCUUGCGCCUCCUAAAUCCGCCCCUGCCUAUAACAACCCCGUUUGUUCCAGGAUGAUGUUAAAUUGAGUUUAAUAACGCUUUGACAGAAUUCAAAUGAUGUUGCAGGCAU